UGGGGAAUAUUGGACAAUGGGCGAAAGCCUGAUCCAGCCAUGCCGCGUGUGUGAAGAAGGUCUUCGGAUUGUAAAGCACUUUAAGUUGGGAGGAAGGGCAUUAACCUAAUACGUUAGUGUUUUGACGUUACCGACAGAAUAAGCACCGGCUAACUCUGUGCCAGCAGCCGCGGUAAUACAUAGGGUGCAAGCGUUAAUCGGAAUUACUGGGCGUAAAGCGCGCGUAGGUGGUUUGUUAAGUUGGAUGUGAAAUCCCCGGGCUCAACCUGGGAACUGCAUUCAAAACUGACUGACUAGAGUAUGGUAGAGGGUGGUGGAAUUUCCUGUGUAGCGGUGAAAUGCGUAGAUAUAGGAAGGAACACCAGUGGCGAAGGCGACCACCUGGACUAAUACUGACACUGAGGUGCGAAAGCGUGGGGAGCAAACA
rnacentral:rRNA from 1 species